CCAAUGGGCACCACCUUAUCAAAAAGCUGGCGCUGCAGCUAAAAACAAAUUAAAUACCUUCUUAGAUGAUGCUUCAGACGAGUUUUUCCACCUUUUGGAAGAAACUUUUGCAGAACAAAGGGCGUUCAUCAACAAUGUCGAUCCUCCAAGUAUCACUAACAUAAAAGACCAAUGGCCCGUCCUUUUUAAAGUAGAAGCCAUAAAAUGGCAUUUUAACAAAGUUACGAACGGAAACAUAAGCAAUCUUACAACGAAUUUACAAUUAAAAGCAGAAAAAAUUGUAAAUUUUGGCUUACAACAUAAAAUUAUCAUCAGCAAAGACGUAAGACGGGAUUCGGCAGAAAUAAUUGCUUUAGAAGUGUUUGCAAGAUAUUUCCAGGAAAAUAUCUAUGGGGCCUUUUACCUCAAAUUUCAGGAUGAAGCUAUGAUUGAAAUUACACAAAACGAACCGUGCAUUAUCAACUGUACUGUCGAAAAUCAGUUCUAUAUAUAUAUGGAAAAAGAAAGGGUGGUACAGUGCAAAGACUUUUUUCAAGCUUUAGAAUGUUGCUUUUCUUUGUACUUUAUUUUUAAUUUACACUACCCGAAGGAGACGUCCACAUUUCUCGAAAUGAUUCAGAGAUAUUUUUUAAAAAUCCAUCCCGACAGUGGAAGCAAAUCGCGCAAGUUAUCAGCCUCCAAAAAAAAGGUGCUCAGUCUCAUGAGGAA